GAUCAUGGCUCAGAACGAACGCUGGCGGCGCGUUUAAGCAUGCAAGUCGAGCGGCAAGGGCCUUCGGGCCCCUAGAGCGGCGGACGGGUGAGUAACACGUGGACAAUCUGCCUCCCGGCCCGGGAUAGCCCAGGGAAACCUGGAUUAAUACCGGAUGAGACGGGACCCGCGAUGGCGGGACCCGGGAAAGGCGCUGCGGCGCCGCCGGGGGAUGAGUCUGCGUCCCAUUAGCUAGACGGCGGGGUAACGGCCCACCGUGGCGACGAUGGGUAGCCGGCCUGAGAGGGUGGACGGCCACAUUGGAACUGAGACACGGUCCAGACUCCUACGGGAGGCAGCAGCUAAGAAUCUUCCGCAAUGGGCGAAAGCCUGACGGAAGCGACGCCGCGUGAACGAAGAAGGCCGUGAGGUUGUAAAGUUCUUUUCGGGAGGGGGAACAACCGUGGCAGGGAAUGGCCGCGGGAUGACGUGAAUCCCGGAAUAAGCCCCGGCUAACUACGUGCCAGCCGCCGC
rnacentral:rRNA from 1 species